UUGAACGCUGGCGGCAGGCCUAACACAUGCAAGUCGCACGGUAACAGGAAGCAGCUUGCUGCUUUGCUGACGAGUGGCGGACGGGUGAGUAAUGUCUGGGAAACUGCCUGAUGGAGGGGGAUAACUACUGGAAACGGUAGCUAAUACCGCAUAACGUCGCAAGACCAAAGAGGGGGACCUUAGGGCCUCUUGCCAUCGGAUGUGCCCAGAUGGGAUUAGCUAGUAGGUGGGGUAACGGCUCACCUAGGCGACGAUCCCUAGCUGGUCUGAGAGGAUGACCAGCCACACUGGAACUGAGACACGGUCCAGACUCCUACGGGAGGCAGCAGUGGGGAAUAUUGCACAAUGGGCGCAAGCCUGAUGCAGCCAUGCCGCGUGUAUGAAGAAGGCCUUCGGGUUGUAAAGUACUUUCAGCGGGGAGGAAGGGAGUAAAGUUAAUACCUUUGCUCACUGACGUUACCCGCAGAAGAAGCACCGGCUAACUCCGUG
rnacentral:rRNA from 1 species